GGGGUUGUAGCUUAGUGGUAGAGCACUUGCCUCACAUGCAUGGGGCACUGGGUUUGAUCCUCAGCACCA
rnacentral:tRNA from 1 species